CUUCAAGAAAUUUUGGAUUUCUGACCAUUUUGAUUAUACCUUCUGGUUCCUUAUCUUCCUUGGAGAAAACCAUGGAAAAAUAAGUUUUCUAAUUCAUUUGCCAAAUGUUCUCAGUAAUAUGGGUUCUUUAUUUCAAAAAGUAAAAGUAAUCCCGACAUACCAGGAGUACAUGGACUGAACCACUCUGAAUUAUAAAUCGCAGUUUAUACAUUGAAGAAAAUAUAAGGACUACUGUACUUGAGGUUCUCAGAAAUCUCAUAAAUGAAUACAAAGUUACCAGACUUGCUGACAUAUAUCACAAGACUGGGAUUACCUUGGUCUACUUCAAAGUUCUUUUGAAAGCUGGAAGAUCGGCACACCUUGACCUACAUUUCUCUGGACAACAGCUGCAUGGAGUGAAGGUGCCCAUUCUCCAGCUCACGCCGGUCCAUAUCUCUGUCUGUUGUCCAACUCAGAGAGGAGACUUCAUCAUCUCCUGGCUCUUGGUGGGCAUGUUUGUGACCACGUCUGAAAGCAAUCCAAGUUGGGAAUUACUGCAUGCUGAAAUGAGCAAGACAAUGGCCAUCUGCAGGCAUUCAGAGAAGAAAUCAAUAGAGUUAAAUACUGUAAUGUUCUUCUGGAGGAAUGGGAAGCAUGUGAGAAGAAAAUAGGGUAUUUGAGAUCCAAAACCUCAUCUACAAUAAAUAGAAAAAAGGUCAAAGUAUUAAUCAAGUAACAAUAGUGUGUACAUAUUAUUCUAAAAAGUGGAAUAAAUGUCACAAAAAGAGCUGCAAGUUUUUGUAUGUACUUGCCCUCACAAAGAAGAUUGGAGGGUACUAGAUGGCUAUAAUCAGUAUUUUUUAGCACAUUUGACUUGUUUAAACUUUGAUUAAGUUUUAAAUUGUUUUGGUAUCAGAAAUAAAUAGUAGCCCCCAAACAGUUUUAAAAUAGCUCUGCGAAGGAGGAUAGUGGGAAAGGUAACAACUAAAAUGCAUCAUUUUGGGGUUGGGCAUUUUUGGGUUUGUCAGGGUAUUAACAACCUGCGGUUAUAGCUCCCUCAUGUAAUCAUCCACAAAGACACUCUUGCCUGGUGUGCUCAGACCAUAGCCGUCUCUGCCAGCUUAUGUCUCAGGAUGAAAAAGAAAUGGACAAGCUGGACAAGCAUAGGAGUCUGUGUGGGAUGGAGAUAAUUUCAAAUGUAUCCUGAAGCCUAUCCUAUGACAGAGGCCUGAAUUCUGGGUAGCAUUAAAACCAAACAACUAGUUAGUCUCACUCAGAUAUAUCUGAACAAAACUCCAGAAAAGGAUGACAUUUACAUUGCUGAAGAUUAUGAUAUGAUCU
rnacentral:lncRNA from 1 species